UAGGGAAUCUUCGGCAAUGGGGGGAACCCUGACCGAGCAACGCCGCGUGUGUGAAGAAGGUUUUCGGAUCGUAAAGCUCUGUUGUUAAGGAAGAACGAGUGUGAGAAUGGAAAGUUCAUACUGUGACGGUACUUAACCAGAAAGGGACGGCUAACUACGUGCCAGCAGCCGCGGUAAUACGUAGGUCCCGAGCGUUGUCCGGAGCUAUUGGGCGUAAAGCGAGCGCAGGCGGUUAGAUAAGUCUGAAGUUAAAGGCAGUGGCUCAACCAUUGUAGGCUUUGGAAACUGUUUAACUUGAGUGCAGAAGGGGAGAGUGGAAUUCCAUGUGUAGCGGUGAAAUGCGUAGAUAUAUGGAGGAACACCGGUGGCGAAAGCGGCUCUCUGGUCUGUAACUGACGCUGAGGCUCGAAAGCGUGGGGAGCGAACAGG
rnacentral:rRNA from 1 species